rnacentral:lncRNA from 1 species
UUCGGAUGUCGGGUCCCAUUGCUAGAUGGUUAUAUCAAUUGGUAUAGAAAAUUAUUCCUAUGCUACUGACUUAAGUUCGAACCUAUGGGAUCACACACAUUAGGAGAUUCAGUCAGAUCUGAUGGCUGAAGAGUCCAAAUGGAUUGUGACUUUGGUGAGGAGUCCCACUGGGAUUGAGACUUCAGAGGAGAGUUCCACUAGACUGAGAUUCUACUAUUAAUAGAGAAUUAAUUAAUAUAGAUUAUUAAUUGACUCAAUUUGAUUGAGCA